CCUACGGGAGGCAGCAGUGGGGAAUAUUGGACAAUGGGGGCAACCCUGAUCCAGCCAUGCCGCGUGUGUGAAGAAGGCCCUCGGGUUGUAAAGCACUUUCAGUGAGGAAGAACGCCUGGUGGUUAAUACCCAUCAGGAAAGACAUCACUCACAGAAGAAGCACCGGCUAACUCCGUGCCAGCAGCCGCGGUAAUACGGAGGGUGCGAGCGUUAAUCGGAAUUACUGGGCGUAAAGCGCGCGUAGGUGGCUUGAUAAGCCGGUUGUGAAAGCCCCGGGCUCAACCUGGGAACGGCAUCCGGAACUGUCAAGCUAGAGUGCAGGAGAGGAAGGUAGAAUUCCCGGUGUAGCGGUGAAAUGCGUAGAGAUCGGGAGGAAUACCAGUGGCGAAGGCGGUCUUCUGGACUGACACUGACACUGAGGUGCGAAAGCGUGGGUAGCAAACAGGAUUAGAUACCCCUGUAGUC
rnacentral:rRNA from 1 species